CCUACGGGAGGCAGCAGUGGGGAAUAUUGCACAAUGGGGGAAACCCUGAUGCAGCGACGCCGCGUGAGCGAUGAAGUAUUUCGGUAUGUAAAGCCCUAUCAGCAGGGAAGAAAAUGACGGUACCUGACUAAGAAGCCCCGGCUAACUACGUGCCAGCAGCCGCGGUAAUACGUAGGGGGCAAGCGUUAUCCGGAUUUACUGGGUGUAAAGGGAGCGUAGGCGGGGGUGCAAGCCAGAUGUGAAAGCCUGGGGCUCAACCCCGGGACUGCAUUUGAAACUGUGCUGCUAGAGUGUCGGAGAGGCAGGCGGAAUUCCUGGUGUAGGAGUGAAAUGCGUAGAGAUUAGGAGGAACACCAGUGGCGAAGGCGGCCUGCUGGACGAUGACUGACGUUGAGGCUCGAAAGCGUGGGGAGCAAACAGGAUUAGAUACCCCUGUAGUC
rnacentral:rRNA from 1 species